rnacentral:rRNA from 1 species
ACCCAAUAGAUACCCAGGUAGUCCACGCCGUAAACGAUGGGCACUAGGUGCUUGGGGGAGCGACCCUCUGAGUGCCGUCGCUAAACGCAGUAAGUGCCCCGCCUGGGGAGUAUGGCCGCAAGGCUGAAACUCAAAGGAAUUGACGGGGGCCCGCACAAGCGGUGGAGCAUGCGGUUCAAUUCGACGCAACGCGAAGAACCUUACCUGCGCUUGACAUGCAUAUGAAAGCUUCCAGAGACGGGAGCCCCUCUUCGGAGCAUAUGCACAGAUGCUGCAUGGCUGUCGUCAGCUCGUGUCGUGAGAUGUUGGGUU